CCGGGCUAGAGCGAGGGGCACGGCUGUCAGUCGGGGGGGCUCGGUCCUCUCAUUUUCCUGUGCCCAUCGCAUCUCCCCGCGGACCAGCCGGCCCUGCCCAGCUGCUCCCCUCCCUCCCCCUGUCCGGGAACCGGGUUUGGGGCUGGGGGAGGCGGUGCCCACCCCUCCGCGGGGCCGGCGGGAGCGGUGGCUCGGCAGCCCGGGCCGGGCUGCGCUGCGCUGCGCUGGGGGAGCAGGUUUCUUUGUUGGCUGCCGGGUGACUGGUUCCCAUUAAUCUCCCGCACUGGUCGUGGCCGUCUCCACUUCCUGCCUUUGCAUACUUUUCUCUCCCUCGAUCUCAGUCCCUUCCCACCCCCCUCCCUCCCUCCCCCCUUUCUUUGCCUCUUCCCAGCUUCUCCAAAAAAGCUACAACCGCCCGGGCUGCGGGACGGGGGCUGCAGGCGGCCGGCGGAGGGAGCGCAUCCCUGCGCACCUCGAAACAUGAAAGAAUACAGGAAGUCCUGCAUGACCUUAUGAAUACCUGUGCUAAUUAAGUCACUGGCUUGGUACUGGGAGAACAGCAAGGUAAGCAGUCAGGCCAUGCCAGCAGAAUUUCUUGUAAUCUGCAUGAUUGUAUUUCAACAAAGCUUCAGUGCUUUCACAUAUCAAAUUCAUAAGUAGUCAGGCAAAGAGAAAUAGCCUGCAGGUCUGAAUGUGAUAGAUUUACUUUUAGUUCAAAGCUUUGGUGAGUAAACAUCUCUUUUUUUCCUUCUGGGAAAAAAAGUACAAGUUUUGUGGUCGUUUUCUCUUUUUUAGAAGGCGAUAUCUCUAAUUUCCACAAUCAAUUCCUGCCCAAAUCUCAGCUUCCUGGGCUGACUCUGGGGAGGGGCUGGAGGAGGGGUGGAAUGUUUCAAAACUUAGCUGAUGAAAAGGCAUGCUGUUUUGUGGAUGCCUCCCAGAAUUGUUUAAAUCUGUGUGUGUGUGUGCGCGCGCUUAUGAAAGGGGGGGGAGAGAGAUCUCCAUGACAACUGGCCUGGCCAGUCUGUGUUCUCUGCAAUCAUUGUGGCUGGAAUCAGUGCUGAGAGAGGUCAUAUGAAGGAGUUAUGGGAAGCACAGCAGGUAUUAGACACUAAACGACUGGUUUUCUGAUUGCCUCAGAUAAUAACACAGAGUUUUGUCUGGGAAAUACAAAUCUGAGAAUGGAGUGGAAAGGGAAAUGCUCCAAAUUUCAGGUAACAAAAAUUGCCUUUUUAAUGUUAUGUCCUCCCAUUGUAAAGUUUGAUGAUUUUUAAUUUUUUUUUUAACUUGGUGGUGGUGUUUACUCCCAGCCGAGAGUGCCGGAGUGAGCUUGGAUUCUCUAACUCUGGGGAAUGAUGUCAUGCAGCAACAGUUGGAUUCUAUUAGCCAGGGAAAGAGGAAAC
rnacentral:lncRNA from 1 species